UACGUAGGGACCAAGCGUUGUCCGGAAUCAUUGGGCGUAAAGAGCGUGUAGGCGGCCAGACAGGUCCGCUGUGAAAACUCGAGGCUCAACCUCGAGAUGUCGGUGGAAACCGUCUGGCUAGAGUCCGGAAGAGGAGAGUGGAAUUCCCGGUGUAGCGGUGAAAUGCGCAGAUAUCGGGAAGAACACCCGUGGCGAAGGCGGCUCUCUGGGACGGUACUGACGCUGAGACGCGAAAGCGUGGGGAGCGAACAGG
rnacentral:rRNA from 1 species